UGUGUAAGGAGAUGUCGAGUUUUUUUGUUGUUCGUUUUGUAUCUUGAUGUGCUUUGAGCUGUGAGCAUCCUUGAAUCACCAAGGCAUCUAUACUAAAAAUUUGAAAGACAUGAACUGCCUGAAUUAAACUGCUCUAUUGAACAGAAAAGAGCAACCUUCUAUUUUUACUUUUUAGGUUCAGUGCUUUUUAUUUUUUCAUCAUUAGCAGAAUUACAUUAUAUUCUCUUGCAUUGUGCAAACCAUAUAUUUAUUCUGAAUUAAGACAAUUCACUUGCUAGCUGAUGAAUGAUUCGUUUCAUGAGAGCUAAUUAGCUGUACAUACAUGAAGCAUAUAAACAUUAUUAGUACACCAUAUGGUUUUUCUCUGUUCGUUCAUGUCCACCGCCCAUGAAGCAUAACUAAAUAUAUACUAAUAAAUGCCUGAAAGCUCCUGCUAGCUCAUAACCUGAUUAAUCAAGAUAAUCUCAACGAUUAGAUGUGCAGCUUGUUGAUAGUCUCAAAGUAGAUGCUUAUUUGUUUACUUCUGGCCCUCCUCUUUUGUUCUAAAAUAAUUCAGUAUGCAAAGAUGUGAGAAGAGAACCUUGAAUAUCAAUUUUGCAGAACAUGUAAGUUAAUAAUAUAUACCCUGUUUACCUUUGUAUCCAUAGUAGAACCCCAAAGUCUCAAUACGACUAUAUCUGUUUUCAGGGUAACGUUUGAGAGAAGCAUGUCACAGAUCUUCAGUUGGUAGAUUUUCUCCAGUAUGGCCCACAAAAUAACAAGGGGAAGAAUGGGAAGGCCUUUGCUGCAACAAAUUAAGGAGGGUAGAAUGUUGAAUUGGAAUGUGCUACUGAAGAUCCUCUUUGCACCCUUCAAAAAGCAUUCGAGAAGGAAUACAAGAUCCAUGGUACUUGCAAAGUGUCAGCUAAUGGUGUACUUACAGGGUAUGUGCUUUGCUACAAGCUGCGCAGCAUCGGGCUCAAAGCUAGAAAAACUGAUAGUUUCCUUGGCAAACUCAAAGAUUAUCU